rnacentral:rRNA from 1 species
CUACGGAGGGUGCAAGCGUUGUUCGGAAUUAUUGGGUGUAAAGAGCAUGUAGGCGGUUCGUUAAGUCUGAUGUGAAAGCCCGGGGCUCAACCCCGGAAGUGCAUUGGAUACUGGCGAACUUGAGUACGGGAGAGGAAAGUGGAAUUUCGAGUGUAGGGGUGAAAUCCGUAGAUAUUCGAAGGAACACCAGUGGCGAAGGCGGCUUUCUGGACCGAUACUGACGCUGAGAUGCGAAAGCGUGGGGAGCAAACAGGAUUAGAAACCCUAGUAGUCC